rnacentral:tRNA from 1 species
GCUUAAAAGCUUUAAAGAAGCAGCGGUCUUGUAAACCGAAGAUUGGAAAAUCCCUUAAGCCUA